rnacentral:rRNA from 1 species
UAGGGAAUCUUCCGCAAUGGACGCAAGUCUGACGGAGCAACGCCGCGUGAGUGAAGAAGGAUUUCGGUUCGUAAAACUCUGUUGUUAGAGAAGAACAGCGCAUAGAGUAACUGUUAUGCGUGUGACGGUAUCUAACCAGAAAGCCACGGCUAACUACGUGCCAGCAGCCGCGGUAAUACGUAGGUGGCAAGCGUUGUCCGGAUUUAUUGGGCGUAAAGCGAGCGCAGGCGGUCAAUUAAGUCUGAUGGGAAAGCCCCCGGCUCAACCGGGGAGGGUCAUUGGAAACUGGUUGACUUGAGUGCAGAAGAGGAGAGUGGAAUUCCAUGUGUAGCGGUGAAAUGCGUAGAUAUAUGGAGGAACACCAGUGGCGAAGGCGACUCUCUGGUCUGUAACUGACGCUGAGGCUCGAAAGCGUGGGUAGCAAACAGG